UAUUGAACACAUGGUGCCACUGGCAAAUAUCAGGGCAUCUAUAAUUCUAUAUCAUCGCAUCGCGUUACGAAUUACAAUUUUCAUCAGCAGGUCGAGAUCUGCAUACUGCACGAAAGCAGAGAGAUCCGUAGUUGACGCACUGACAAAAAGAAGCAGGGAGAUCCGCAAUCACGUUGUCAUAGCACGUAGACCAUGCCGACCUCGAGCAGCGACGCCGGCGGCACGCGCAGCACCACGUCCGGGCCGCGGCAGUUCCGCCGCAGGAAGUUGUAGCCGACGCCGACGGCCAGCUUCUUCAGCACCGACGACCCCGGCUUAGUCUGCACGUGCGAGUGCCCCAGGAUGAACGCCGUCCCCGCCUCCCGCGCCUCGCACAGCUCCUGCAGCUCCUCCAGCACGCGCUCGUCCACGCCGGGGCUCCUCGGCGCCGCGCUCUCCACCGCGAACCUCACCUGCUUCUUAAUCGCCGGCGCCGCCGCCGCGAGCUCGAUCCCGUUCGCGCUGCCAGCGGCCUCGUGGGCCGACGACACGCCGUCGUGGGAGUCGUCGUAUCCCAGGCCCAGGUGGCGCCGCAGCGGGUUGCUCCCGAUGACGGUGAGCGCGUUCUCGCGCUCGUAGUAGCUGCUGUCCCGCUGCUCGCCGCCGGCGUCGCUGCACCGGAACAGCGCGUCGAGCUUGAUGAAGGUGGCGAGGCUCUCGACGAGCUCCGUCUCGAAGGAGUCCACGUCCUGGUGCACGUCGCGGUAGCCGUAGCGCACGAUGCACCGGUAGGAGUGGUGGCCCGGCGGCCCGACGCGGCCGACGAGGUAGCGCUCGGCGGGGAGCACGUGCGGCACCGGCACGGACUUGACGCAGACGAAGACGAGCACCCGGUGGAACGCUGGGAGGUUGGUUACGAAGCGGGAGAAGUUCGCCGGCACGCCGGAGGUGAGGUCGGUGUAGACGAGGCCGAUGCCCGGGACACGCACCAUGCCG
rnacentral:lncRNA from 1 species